GGAAUGAAUUGAUCCUCCGGUGCAAGUUUGUUUACUACUUAUCGAUGGCUUUGAACUUUGUUCUACGGCUCGCUUGGUUGCAAACAGUUCUGCACUACAACUUUGCGAGUUUGGAUUACAGAGUGACUUCAUUCUUCUUAGCAGCCCUCGAGGUGAUUCGGCGAGGGCAUUGGAAUUUUUAUAGGUUGGAGAAUGAGCACCUGAACAAUGCUGGAAAACUUAGGGCUGUUAAGACAGUUCCACU